rnacentral:rRNA from 1 species
ACGGAAGGCAGCAGUGGGGAAUAUUGCACAAUGGGGGAAACCCUGAUGCAGCGACGCCGCGUGAGUGAAGAAGUAUUUCGGUAUGUAAAGCUCUAUCAGCAGGGAAGAUAAUGACGGUACCUGACUAAGAAGCCCCGGCUAACUACGUGCCAGCAGCCGCGGUAAUACGUAGGGGGCAAGCGUUAUCCGGAUUUACUGGGUGUAAAGGGAGCGUAGGUGGUUUGGCAAGUCAGAAGUGAAAGCCAGGGGCUCAACCCCUGGAUUGCUUUUGAAACUGUCAGACUAGAGUACUGGAGAGGUAAGCGGAAUUCCUAGUGUAGCGGUGAAAUGCGUAGAUAUUAGGAGGAACACCAGUGGCGAAGGCGGCUUACUGGACAGCAACUGACACUGAGGCUCGAAAGCGUGGGGAGCAAACAGGAUUAGAUACCCUGGUA